rnacentral:tRNA from 1 species
UGGGGAUAUAGCUCAGUGGUAGAGCACUUGCCCAGCGUGCAUGAGGCCCUGGGUUCAAUCCCCAGUGCACAA